UUAGCACUCGCCCAACAUCCUCUCGCACUAUGUCCACUAGGUACGGCGUCCGAUAUAGAAGUAAUGUUACUCCAUAAUCCUGUCCACAUAUGAACUCUUAGUUGAUACCACUGGUG